GUAGGUGGCAAGCGUUGUCCGGAAUUAUUGGGCGUAAAGCGCGCGCAGGCGGUUCUUUAAGUCUGAUGUGAAAGCCCACGGCUCAACCGUGGAGGGUCAUUGGAAACUGGAGAACUUGAGUACAGAAGAGGAAAGACGGAAUUCCACGUGUAGCGGUGAAAUGCGUAGAGAUGUGGAGGAACACCAGUGGCGAAGGCGGCUUUCUGGUCUGUAACUGACGCUGAGGCGCGAAAGCGUGGGGAGCAAACAGGGAUUAGAUACCCUGGUAGUCCACGCCGUAAACGAUGAGUGCUAAGUGUUAGGGGGUUUCCGUCCCCCCUUAGUGCUGCAGCUAACGCAUUAAGCACUCCGCCUGGGGAGUACGGCCGCAAGGCUG
rnacentral:rRNA from 1 species